rnacentral:rRNA from 1 species
AGCAGCCGCGGUAAUUCCAGCUCCAAUAGCGUAUAUUAAAGUUGCUGCGGUUAAAAAGCUCGUAGUUGAAUUUCGGAAUUGAUGCAUCGGUCGUGCCUUAAGGGGCAUGAACUGGUGUAGCCAAUUUCUCACCUUCUGGUGAAUUGUUGAUGUUCUUAAUGGGUGUCUCAAUGAACUAGAAUUUUUUACUUUGAAAAAAUUAGAGUGUUUAAAGCAGGCAUUAAUUUGCUUGAAUACAUUAGCAUGGAAUAAUGAAAUAGGACAGUGGUUCCGUUUUGUUGGUUUCUAGGAUCACGUAAUGAUUAAUAGGGACAGUUGGGGGCAUUAGUAUUCAAUUGUCAGAGGUGAAAUUCUUGGAUUUAUUGAAGACUAACUAUUGCGAAAGCAUUUGCCAAGGAUGUUUUCAUUAAUCAAGAACGAAAGUUAGGGGAUCAAAGACGAUUAAGUACGUCGUAGUCCUAACCAUAAACUAUACCGACUAGGAAUCAGACGAUGUUAAUUUUUUAAUGACUCGUUUGGUACCUUAC